rnacentral:pre_miRNA from 1 species
AGCUUCUUUACAGUGCUGCCUUGUAGAAUCCUUAUCAAGCAGCAUUGUACAGGGCUAUGA